AUUGAACGCUGGCGGCAGGCCUAACACAUGCAAGUCGAACGAGUGGCGGACGGGUGAGUAAUGUCUGGGAAACUGCCUGAUGGAGGGGGAUAACUACUGGAAACGGUAGCUAAUACCGCAUACCAUCGGAUGUGCCCAGGUGGGAUUAGCUAGUAGGUGGGGUAAAGGCUCACCUAGGCGACGAUCCCUAGCUGGUCUGAGAGGAUGACCAGCCACACGGGAACGGAGACACGGCCCAGACUCCGACGGGAGGCAGCAGUGGGGAAUAUUACACAAUGGGCGCAAGCCGUAUGCAGCCAUGCCGCGUGUAGGAAGAAGGCGUUCGGGUUGUAAAGUACUUUCAGCGGGGAGGCGUUACCCGAAGAAUAAGCACCGGCUAACUACGUGCCAGCCGCCGGGGUAAUUC
rnacentral:rRNA from 1 species